rnacentral:rRNA from 1 species
GCAAGUCGAGGGGCAGCGUGGAGCAGCAAUGCUCUGACAGCGACCGGCGGAAGGGUGCGUAACACGUGAGCGACUUGCCCGUCACAGGGGGGAUAACCGGCGGAAACGGCGACUAAUACCCCAUACGAUGUGAUGCUGCAUGGCAUUGCAUUGAAAGAUUUAUCAGUAAAGGAUGGGGAUGCGUCCCAUUAGCUUGUUGGCGGGGUAACGGCCCACCAAGGCGACGAUCAGUAGGGGUUCUGAGAGGAAGGUCCCCCACAUUGGAACUGAGACACGGGUCCAAACUCCUACGGGAGGCAGCAGUGAGGAAUAUUGGUCAAUGGACGAGAGUCUGAACCAGCCAAGUAGCGUGCAGGAUGACGGCCCUAUGGGUUGUAAACUGCUUUUAUAAGGGAAUAAAGUGGGAGUCGUGACUCUUUUGCAUGUACCUUAUGAAUAAGGACCGGCUAAUUCCGUG